GACGAACGCUGGCGGCGUGCCUAAUACAUGCAAGUCGAGCGAAGUUUUUCUGGUGCUUGCACUAGAAAAACUUAGCGGCGAACGGGUGAGUAACACGUAAAGAACCUGCCUCAUAGACGGGGACAACUAUUGGAAACGAUAGCUAAUACCGGAUAACAGCAUAAAUCGCAUGAUAUAUGUUUAAAAGUUGGUUUCGGCUAACACUAUGAGAUGGCUUUGCGGUGCAUUAGCUAGUUGGUGGGGUAAAGGCCUACCAAGGCGACGAUGCAUAGCCGACCUGAGAGGGUGAUCGGCCACACUGGGACUGAGACACGGCCCAGACUCCUACGGGAGGCAGCAGUAGGGAAUCUUCCGCAAUGGGCGAAAGCCUGACGGAGCAACGCCGCGUGAGUGAAGAAGGAUUUCGGUUCGUAAAGCUCUGUUGUUAGGGAAGAAUGAUUGUAUAGUAACUAUAUACAGUAGAGACGGUACCUAACCAGAAAGCCACGGCUAACUACGUGCCAGCAGCCGCGGUAAUACGUAGGUGGCAAGCGUUGUCCGGAAUUAUUGGGCGUAAAGCGCGCGCAGGUGGUUUAAUAAGUCUGAUGUGAAAGCCCACGGCUCAACCGUGGAGGGUCAUUGGAAACUGUUAAACUUGAGUGCAGGAGAGAAAAGUGGAAUUCCUAGUGUAGCGGUGAAAUGCGUAGAGAUUAGGAGGAACACCAGUGGCGAAAGCGGCUUUUUGCCUGGUAACUGACACUGAGGCGCGAAAGCGUGGGGGAGCAAACAGG
rnacentral:rRNA from 1 species